UGGAUGAAGCAGAUAGCUUGGAAAGGAAAAUAAAAAGGCUGUAUCUUAUCAUAGCUGCCAAUUUGCCAAAACUUUGAUUUGACAGCCUUUAUCUUCAUGCUCCAGUACUCUGUCUCCACUGAAGCAUUGAAGAGAUUUCAUGAGAGGCUGAGGAAGUUACCAGACCAUUUAGAAGAAAUGAUAUGCAAAUAGCUCUAAUCAGAUUCCCCAACCCUUUAACCAUUCAAAGGGAAAUACAGAAUAACUUAAACAGACCUGAGACACCACCAAACUUAACUUUCUACAUCACACACUUGAGAAGGUGAAACUUUCUGACCUAUUCAACUUGAGCUACACGUGGUUUAAAAGACUUUGAUAACAUUCACUGUGGACUAAAGCCAAGCAAAUAAGCAGUUACUGUGUUUCAGCUGAUGAGUGAUAACUUGCUGAACUGUGGUAUAUUGACUACUUGUAGUUAUUUAUCCAUCCACUUAAUGAUUUAUCCAGAUAUUUUUACAAUCUCUGAAGCCUUCGAAAUGUUGACAGUUAUUAAUGCCGGUACUGCUGUAGGCAGCCCAGUGAUAUUCAUGGAGCCACAAAUAAGAGAGGUUUUUUUUCUGAAGGAGAGCACAGAGUUGAAGCUAAGUUACCCAAGACCUUAAACUUAUUUAUCCUCACUCUAUUCACUCAAGCAUUACAUUACAAGCAAAACUCUAUUUAUCACUAGAUGGGAUGUUUUUGCACAUACAUAAAUAAGUGCCAAAAAGCAAAAUGUCACUGAGAGUACAUAUUGCAGCAGAUUCCUCUUCCUCUUAGUGUAGUGCCAAAUUGUACUAAUCCCAAAAAUACUAGACUGUGGUCUCUUUCUCAAUACCUAUUCCAUACAGCACAGAGGGAACCUCAUAUUGUAUAACAUUGACAAUAUUACCUCAUUUAUAUUAAUCAGUCACAUAGUCUUAUCUAAAGAAGAGGUGUAUUUCAAGUUGUUCACUUGUACAUACAUUCACAUGUAUUAAAAAAUCUAAUUGUGUGCACAGCAGUAAAAAAAAGGCAUUUCUUUUGUACAUUACUAAUAAUCUAAUUUACUGGGUUUGACAUUUGCUAUGAGUUUUUUUAAUAGUAAACCCUGAACAUAUUUAAUAUAAAUUCCUCAGAUAGUCACGAUACCUUGCACAUAUCUAAGCACGUUGGUAACAGUAGGAUGUUAGAAAGCUAGAGAGAAUUUUAAGCAUAACAGUUGAAUAUUUUAUUUCAUGUCCUAUAUGCUGUCCACUGAACCUAUGAAAAACUCUUUUCACUUCUCAAAAGGUCAGCAGCAUAUGCACUCAUACUUACUAUAGGAAUAAGAUUUUUCCACUCACUCAAAAUCCCUUGAGAUUUCCUCCAUAUCAGAUUUAGCUGAAAGACCUAUAAAAGGUUUCCGCUUUUGGUAAAGUUCGAACUAACUCUGACUUGAAUUAAUUCAUUUGGUCUCGGACUGAGAUUUUUGAAAGAAAUUUAGAUGUUCGAGGCCUCAUGUGCACUGAAAGCUCAAUUCAAAAUGCCCCAAAUCCGAGCUGCGGAUGAUUUCAGUGAAGUGUUUUUAAUGUAGCCUGGAUCUCCCCAUUUCUAAGACUGUUCUGGUAUAGGCCAUGAUUACUGCCUGUAGGAUGGAAUAGAAGUGAGAUCAAAACUGAAACACCUCGAGAAAACCUUCUAAUUGACUAUUUUCCUAAUUGAAAAAUACAUACAUUGGUUCAUAUUCAAUUAUGAAGCUGCCAGUAAAGAAUACAA